ACGAACGCUGGCGGCGUGCCUAAUACAUGCAAGUCGAGCGAAGUUUUUCUGGUGCUUGCACUAGAAAAACUUAGCGGCGAACGGGUGAGUAACACGUAAAGAACCUGCCUCAUAGUCUGGGACAACUAUUGGAAACGAUAGCUAAUACCGGAUAACAGCAUUAACUGCAUGGUUGAUGUUUAAAAGUUGGUUUUGCUAACACUAUGAGAUGGCUUUGCGGUGCAUUAGCUAGUUGGUGGGGUAAAGGCCUACCAAGGCGACGAUGCAUAGCCGACCUGAGAGGGUGAUCGGCCACACUGGGACUGAGACACGGCCCAGACUCCUACGGGAGGCAGCAGUAGGGAAUCUUCCGCAAUGGGCGAAAGCCUGACGGAGCAACGCCGCGUGAGUGAAGAAGGAUUUCGGUUCGUAAAGCUCUGUUGUUAGGGAAGAAUGAUUGUGUAGUAACUAUACACAGUAGAGACGGUACCUAACCAGAAAGCCACGGCUAACUACGUG
rnacentral:rRNA from 1 species